rnacentral:rRNA from 1 species
AUUGAACGCUGGCGGCAUGCCUUACACAUGCAAGUCGAACGGCAGCACGGGUGCUUGCACCUGGUGGCGAGUGGCGAACGGGUGAGUAAUACAUCGGAACGUACCUUAUCGUGGGGGAUAACGCAGCGAAAGUUGCGCUAAUACCGCAUACGCCCUGAGGGGGAAAGCGGGGGACCGUAAGGCCUCGCGCGAUUAGAGCGGCCGAUGUCUGAUUAGCUUGUUGGGGAGGUAAAAGCUCACCAAGGCGAUGAUCAGUAGCUGGUCUGAGAGGACGAUCAGCCACACUGGGACUGAGACACGGCCCAGAAUCCUACGGGAGGCAGCAGUGGGGAAUUUUGGACAAUGGAGGCAACCCUGAUCCAGCAAUGCCGCGUGAGUGAAGAAGGCCUUCGGGUUGUAAAGCUCUUUUGUCAGGGAAGAAACAGCAGCUCUAACACAGUCUGCGAAUGACGGUACCUGAAGAAUAAGCACCGGCUAACUACGUGCCAGCAGCCGCGGUAA